GGGGACACUCCCACACAGCUUCUCCAAAUUCUUUUCGGUGAUAAUUGUGGCUAAUUAUACUCAGCAAAUAAUCUCAUCUUGCCAGUCUUCCCCUGUUUGACUUGUGGGGGAUUAAUCACAGCUUUCUGCUGUCGAGCGAGGUUCUGGAGAGCAUGGCAUCAUUGUUUUCUCUAAAGGAAACCCCUCUGAAACAGGGGCUCCAUCCAUCAUCCCUUCUGGAGUCGAAAGAACUGAUUAAAACUUCCUGGCCUGCAAACUUGUUUGCUAACGUGUGGCUUCCUCCCUGCCGUCAGCAGAGGGUCCUUCUGCAGUGUGUUUAGGAGUGGGCUGAGGGUACUGUUUUAUCAAGAUGGGACAGUUAUCUGCGGGCGGGGAGGCCCAGGGCUGGGAACCUGACCACCCCUGUAAACACAAUGAUAACAUCGAGUCUGCAGGCUUCGGGAAGACAAUGCCCUCGGAUUCCCUCUUUCUAAUUAAUGUCUGAAACAAUAGGUGGGAAACCCGAGGGCUCCCCCAGGUGCCGCCCCCCCACCACAUCAUUAUCUAUUGGCCUUUAUUUCUGGGCAUUGAUUGAGCUUAGGGUACGUUGUGUGUAUGAAGAAACUGCAAAUUAAAAUGCGGACUUCUCCCAUUCUUCUUCCUGGAGUGUUCAUCUUGUUAUAAAGCUGGGGUGACAGAGAUGAAAAGUCGGAAGCAGACGAUUUGGGAGCUAUAUACACUUGUGUGCACUGUAUCAACCUCUCUUCCAAAACGAUUCCCAUAAGCAAAUGUUUGAUGGAGGCAGAUGAGGGCAUGUGAGCUCGUGAAGAAAUGUCUUCACAACUGUUUAGGUCAGGGAAAGACACAGGCACCUUUCGCCAGUGGCGGGUGAAUGCUCUGUCUUCAGAGUCCAUGACUGCUAUGUGGCCUGUUAUUUCACUAAGAGGAAGUCACAGCUAUGUCACAGCUACGUCACAGGGACAUUUUUCAUUUUUAAAAAAUCUGAGAUGGGGAGUUCCCGUCGUGGCACAGUGGUUAAUAACGAAUCCGACUAGGAACCAUGAGGUUGCGGGUUCGGUCCCUGCCCUUGCUCAGUGGGUUAAGGGUCUGGCGUUGCUGUGAGCUGUGAUGUGGGUCACAGGUGCGGCUCAGAUCCCGCGUUGCUGUGGCUCUGGCUUAGGCUGGGGGCUACAGCUCUGAUUGGACCCCUAGCCUGGGAACCUCCAUAUGCCAUGGGAGCAGCCCAAGAAAUGGCAAAAAGACCAAAAAAAAAAAAAAAAAAAAAAUCUGAGAUGCCUAGGACUCUGAGGCUGUUUGGUGCACUGACCUGCAGGGGAGCGUUUGCCCAUGUCCUUCUCAUGGGAUUUGCAGGCUGGCAUCAUUAGAGAGACAAAGUCAUCACUAGCAAUCAAGCCAUAUUAAGUCAAUCUACAUUUGUGAUUGCCCUGCAGAGUAACAAUUAAGCUAUUUAGAUGGAAAAAUCUCCCAGGUUCCUACACAAAGGAUCCUUUGGAUUUCAGAUAUGCAACAAUGAGGUCUUGGCGAAUGCAGCCGGCCAAGAUAAAGAUCAGGUGACCAAAUUCUGGACUCAAUAACCAGAACUGCCUGUAACGGGAACCCUCUCAAGUUGCAUAAGCCAAGUGAAGGACCCCGUUUCCAAAGGCGUUGGCAAACCUCAAUCACACAAGCUUCUCAGACCAGCCAGCGCUAUCAGUGACCUUUUGGCCAUAAUUCCUUGUCAAAAGUAACAGCACGAACACGUGGCAUCAGUUAGGGUCACGGCGGCUGCUGUGAUGUGAUACAAGAGGUCUGGCUCAUUUCACGUCCAGAACGAGCGUGGCUGAUCACUCGGGUGGCUUCGCUUCCUGCAGUGACUCAGAGACCCUGGCCCUUUUAUCUCGUGGUUCUACCAUCCCUGGCAGGGGAGGACUAUGGAGGGUUGGGCAUGGCAGGUGUUAAAGGGUCAGACCUAGAAGAGCCAAUGUCGCUUGUAUCAUUACUCCAUUGGCCGGGACACAGCUGACACCAGCAAGGCCAGGAAACAAAGUCGAGCUGUGUGCCAGGAUGAGGGCAACGGCUUGGUGGUGAUGUGCUCAGGGCCUCUGACUGCCUGGAGUCCUAAGCACAGCCACAAGCCAGCUCCCCUCCUCCAAGUUCAGGGUCUCAGACCCCCUUAACACUGCCUUGGCUACGGCGUUGACAUGAUGGAAAUCAAAACCUAUCUGGCACGAUGUAACAUAAGCUGUUGGAUUUCAGCCCUGGCUUUUACUUCCCACCUCCAAAGCAACUUUCAGACCCACGAUGCUCUCAGACGGCCCCGGGGCUGGCAGGUGGACCGUCCUUCUGGGAGGCUGAGUUCUUUGUGGGGCCCUCGGAACGGACCCUUUGACCUCUUGAGGUUUCUCACUGCUCUGAUCUCCGGCUAAUGGAUAGUGUUUUCCAAGCUGAGGGUGUUUUAAAGAUACGGCAGCGAACCAAUGAUACCAUGUCUGACCUCUUCAGGGAUGGCCUUGUGCAUUUCACAGGCUCGGCCUCCCUUAUUGGCUAAUUUCAUAACUUGACUAGAAGUUGGUUUUAGGGAAUCAAUUCUGCCAUUCCCUCAUCACAAGUAAAACCAUAAAAUUUUAUGAGAGCUAAAGGGACUGCCUUUUAUGGAGGGGAACUUAAAUGAACAUUAAAGGGAGCAUAAAACAAUUAAAAAAAAAAAAGAAAUUCCACAAGGUGUUUGCCCCUGGACAGCCACGCUAAAUGACAGUGCUGGGGAUGUGAUCUGGCUGCUUAUGUUUCCCACAAGGUACCGGGGGGAAGCGGGGGUGGGGGGGGUUGUCAUUCUCUGAUCACUGGCAAUAGAAUUGUGGGAGCUCCAGUAGUGGCUUCAGGAGAAGGUACAAAAGAAAACGCCUCGAUCCACCACCCGCUAAUAACUGUGUGUCUCCAGGUAACGUCUCUGAGCUCCAGACUCAUCAUCUGCAAAACGCAGAUGACAACAGCAACUCCUCAGAGGCUUCGAUGACACCACGCAUGCGAAGUGACAGCACAGUGCCUGGCCCACAGCGGGUCUUUGGUUAAUAUCACCAUUUAUCAUUACUGUUCACAACGGAAAAAGCUGAAAGACCACUUGGGGCUCUGUUCAGUUUCCAUAAAUGAGAACGAACGUUGAUUUCCCGCUGACUCUGUGCCACACACAGCUCGGGGUCAUCUCCACUUGACAGAGGCGGAAACUGAGGCUCAGAGACUGUGAAAAACCUGCCCAAAGUAACACAGCCAAAAAAACCCAUCACUGGAUUCAGUAGCCAGAGAUGGGGGGAGGGGGUUCUAGAAGCAAGAACACGGAAGUAAGAUCUACUGAUGAAUCUGGGGGACCGGGUCCUAAUCGGAAUUUCCAAACCCCACCUCUGUUCACGGCAUUAGAACCCCUGAUGGUUGAGGGUGAUCAUAUUCACGUACAAGAAAGCACCACCCAGGUGAUUCUUGCACAGGCUACGCUCUGACCUUGAGAACAACUGAUGCCGAGGUGUUUCUUACAACACGGCGCCUGGGGAGGAAAGCGCCUAAGCAUUCUAUUCUGUCCACCUGCCGAAAUGGCCAUCCGCUUCCCUCUUUGGGCUGCCUCCUCAUCUCCCUAUCUUCCCACCGUCGUCACUUCUGGCACUUCCGUGUGCCAGGAAUAGACAGAUCGAAGCCUGGGUACAGUUUUGGGAAAGCACUGUUUAAAUGAACAUCACUAAUGUGGCCGUGAACAUGGGAGACCUGGACACGCUGUACAGACGUGAAAGGCAACCCCCUGUUUCAGUUAGGAUGGACGAGGUUCUGCUGCGGCAAGGAACAGCCCCACGGCUCAGAGACUCAGCAUGGCAAAAGCCUCGUUCUUGCUCGGACGACGAGCCCGGAACAGGUUGGCAGGGGCUCUGUUCAUCUCAGUCACCCAGGGACCCUGGAUCAUGGAGGACCCAUGUCAUCGUGUCCGUCCACAAUCACCUUGUCAGAGAACAGCACUGGACCACCGGGCUCUGCCUUUUCCCAUCUGCCCCUUGAAGCAACACUUCUGUUCACGCUUCCUCAGCCCAAACGAGCCACCUACGUGCACCUGAUUUCAAGGGAGGGGGACAUGUCACCCUUGGAAGAAGAGGACAGCAACACGUGACACACCACCAAGAACCUUCAGAUCUAUUAAAAAACAAACAAAACAGAAUGUAAACCCAUGAUGCCUCGGCUUCUUGAGCAAUGAACUCCAAUGUCAUGAUGGAUUGCAACACUCGAUCCUGAUCCGGGACAGAGGUGGAGUUUCAUUCAUGCCUGUAGGUACCAGGGAGGGUGGAUGAAACCACACAAUCAAGUGAAGUUGGCUGGGUGUCUUAUUUGGCGAAAUCAAUCUCUCGGACCUGUGCGUGAUACACCGUUUGCCAAGCGGUGCUUAUCAUUUCCCAGACGUCCCUGGCCUGAGACGUGCCCGGCAUCUUCUCACACUCCCCCUUUGCCUGACUCUCCUCAUCUGGACUAAGACGACGCACCCACGUGCUUCAUUUAAAAUACGGUGCAUAGGAUUUUGUUUGCAGGGGGAUGGACGCGUUCCCGGGAGGCAAUGUUUUUGGCGGGAUGGGCACAGAGGCCGACGAGUGCCAAGAUCACAGGCUUUCAGGAAAUGAACCUCGGGCCUCAGUUGUUGAACGGGAGCUGUCACCCAAGAGGAAUCCCACUUCCAGAAAGGCCCCUGCACCAAACGGUGGGUUUCACUCAGAGGAAAAGGACAGACUGAGGGUUAAAACCAGCCAGGAGGCACUCGGGUGUGGGGAGGGGCAACUGUGCGUACUUCUCAAGCCAUGAAAUACGGCCCCUGUUUUGACACUCUUGUAAUAGCAUGGAUGUUCUCUCUCCUCGUUGCCGUGGGGUUUAUGGUCCAUAAAGUUUAAUAACAAUCCUAACAGCUCAACGGAAAACACACCAGGCUCGAAGGCCACUCCGACCAAAGGGGACCUGAUUUUUCCCUUUGUCCCCCUUGGGCGUCUUGACUUGUACGCGUGCCCAACUCUCACUGGGGGCCCUGGAGAAGAACCACGUGGGAAAGGGGACACAGAGGGCUGCGGUUGGCUCUGAAAUAGCGAGGUGGCUGCACACAUCCGGCCUUGACAGCAGUCUGAGCUUGGAGAAACUGGAGAUCACAAAGCCUGCUUGUCCUGCAAUCAAGGACCCCAAAGUGCCCGGGUGUGGCUAGGUUACGGCUUCAUCCACAUAUCCGGACAGCUGCGAGCAACCCCACAUUCCCCCCACCAAGGCUGCAAGGCUGUGCCUGACCUGCUCUCAGCUUCCGCUCCUUUUUCAACCAGUCGCCGUGGUCCUGACCCAAGCCCCUGGAAACUGCCAAAUCCGCUAACCCCUGGCCUGUAGGCCUCUCACUGCCUCCCUCCCCUCCCCUGGUUCUCUCUGGGGGGCUGGUCUUCUGUCUUCCUGGGACUUGCUUCCACUUCCUCCUCAGCCCUGGUUAAAGGGCACCUCCUCAGAGAAGCCCUCCGGAUUCCAUCUAAGGUCACCGGCCCUAUGAAUAUACCCACUUUGUCUUUCCUACUCAGCACUUCACACCAUCUGUAAGAGCUUGUUUGUGUACCUGCUCCUUUGUUUAUUUACACACUUGCACACACUCGGGAACGAGAGCUCCACGCAAUCAGGGAGCUGGACUCUUAGUCGGGGUGGUACUCAAUGGUGGUUUUGGACAGAAGACCCAACAGCCUAGGUGAUAAAGGGUCAGGGGACCUUGUCACAGAAGCGCUGAACAACAUGGGGAGGUUAAGGCUGGCGCACUCACAGGGGAGAUGGAAAGAGUUUGUCUCCACCUCAUAACACAGCAUGAUCCGGAGGAAACGUCUUGUCUGCCCUGAAGGUGACCAGAGGGCUCUGAGCUCCUUAUUUCUCCAGGUUUUUCCAUCUCUCCCUCCCCUCACACCCUGACGGAUGUGUCCUUAUCUAUUUCACUUCAGAAGCAGUGGACCACAGCUGGCCCUCUGUAUCCCAGAUGUGGGACCCCUGGAUACAGAGGAUGCGCACUGUCC
ensembl:lncRNA